rnacentral:rRNA from 1 species
GAUGAACGCUGGCGGCGUGCCUAAUACAUGCAAGUCGAGCGAACAGACGAGGAGCUUGCUCCUCUGACGUUAGCGGCGGACGGGUGAGUAACACGUGGAUAACCUACCUAUAAGACUGGGAUAACUUCGGGAAACCGGAGCUAAUACCGGAUAAUAUAUUGAACCGCAUGGUUCAAUAGUGAAAGACGGUUUUGCUGUCACUUAUAGAUGGAUCCGCGCCGCAUUAGCUAGUUGGUAAGGUAACGGCUUACCAAGGCAACGAUGCGUAGCCGACCUGAGAGGGGGAGCGGCCAACAGGGAAGGAAGACACGGCCCAGACGCCGACGGGGGGGAGCAGUAGGGUAUAGUCCGCAAGGGGCGAAAGCAGGACAGAGUAACGCAGGGGGAGUGAGGAAGUGCGUAGGAUCCUAAAACUCUGGUAUGAGUGAAGAAAAAAAGUGUAAGGAACUAUGCACGCCCUGACGGGACCGAAAAAGAAAGCCACGGCGAACUCCGGG